rfam:Streptomyces sp. MTSC 1 11, whole genome shotgun sequence.
UGACCCGGUGGCGCCCGACGCCAAAGACCAAAGAACCGGGGAAAGAACCAAUCCCACCCCCACCGCCCCCGUCGCUCACUCGCCGGAGUGAAUAUGCCCAACGCAACUGGCGCGGACGGGUAGUUGUGGUGCAGCGUCGGCAGCGACAGCAAGUCCAGACAUGCAUCGGCCCUCGCCGGGACGGCAAUCCCAGUGCGAGGGCCUGAUCACCGAGGAAGGCAACAACUUCCCG